AGUAGCUCAGUGGUAGAGCUCUCGCUUUGUACGCGGGCGGGAAGACCUGGGUUCGAGUUCCGGCU
rnacentral:tRNA from 1 species